CACAUGAAUAACAAUUUGAAUUUAGACACGUUAAAGUAAAUUGAAACCAGGUUCACAAUGAAAGUAGACAAAUUUGAAGAUUUUUGAAUUUCAGUUCAAAUCAACAGAAAACAUUGUUUACUUUAUAAUGCCAAGAAUUUAACUCAAAACGAUAACCUAUAAACCAAAUAAUGUCUGAAAGUAACAAUAAUUUGUUCCAUGCAUGAUACAUACAAGAAUAAAUAGAUUACAUUGGUAUUAAUUCUAUAUGUGUGUAAUAUAUUAUAAACAAUAAUAAAAAUUUAAUCUUAUAUAAAAAUUCAACCGAUUAUAAGCUAUAAUAUUUCUAUGUAACAUUAAGUGCCCCCUGUAAACGAAAAAACAACCUUGUAACCUUGUAGAAUUCAAGGUUGUUACUUAACCUUGAUAAUUUUCUAAUUUAUUUCUUGACCUUGACAUUUUGCAAGGUAAUUACUUAAACUUGACAUUUUUCAAGGUUAUUGGAAGAAGGCACUGUUUGUACAUAGAAUUAGAAAACUGUCAAUAAUGACGAGAUUUCCACACAGUAUUAAAUUUUUCUCUUUUCAGAGAGUUAUUUAAAAAAAAUUAUAAUCACAUAUUUCUUUUUUUUUGGAUAAAAUUAUUAAUCUUGGAUUUAAACAAUGAGUUACCAUCAAAUGUGCAAUCUAUAAUUAAUUAUUUAAAUGUUAAUACUUUUGGAUUUGUAUAAGAUUAUUUUUUUUUUCAAAGCAAUAGUGUAGUUGUUUCUGACGACUUGAAAUAUUAUUUUUUUCUACAUUCUUUUGUUACACUACUUCCUUUAAAGCUAUUAGCUGGCAAAAAAUAUAAACAAAACAAGCACCAUGCAAUUACUAACCAUUCAAUUUAAUUUCUUUUCUGCUUCAAAGAAAUGAAACUUCAAGGGGAGAUAAUUAAAUUAUUAUCUCCCAUGGGAAUGAAUUUACACAGAACUUUGAUUUCUAAAACCCUAUAAAUAAGGGAUAACUUCAAAGCUUAAGACACAAAUUUUUCAGUCGAUGUAGUUCAUAUUCGCUAUUUCAGUCUAAAGAAUUAUGGAAAUUCUUAUUACUUUUAAACCAAAUUGAAAAUAUUGUGGCCCUAUUGGUCGAAUAUUAAUGUUAGAGAGUUUUAACGAACGUUCAAGUUUUGUGUAUGCUUUUCAAAAUUCAAACCAAAUUGUAUUUCAUUCAGAACCAAGAAACCCUGAAUAACUAGAGCACCCGUAUAUCUCAAAAAGUCCCUUGGGUGUAAGAGAAAUCAAAGUUCUAAUGUAAAUUUUGUGUUGAUGGAGUUUUUCGUAAAUUUUCACUUUUUUCUUUUCUUCAAGUAGUUCUUCAAUUAAGAGGUAGAUUUAUCUUAUAACUAUUUGCUUGUUCAUGAUAUGAUAUAAGCAACAAAAAAUCACUACAAAAAAAAAAAUCACAACACUAGCAUAAACUAAACUGUUGCAUGUUUAAUAAUAGCCAAAAUCUUUAUUCAAGCCAAAAAUAUCAAAUAAAAUUUUUGUGAUGAAAAUAAUCAAGCUAUAUGAACAGCCAUUGGCAUCUAAUAAUAAUAAUAAAACAACAAUAUUAUGUCACAUAAAUUCUAAAUCAUUUUGAAUUAUUUUUUCUUAAUUUCGAAAAAAAAAAAAAUUUAACCUGUUUUCUGACCUUAAUACACAAUUGAACACAAUUUACUACAUACUAUUUUCAUUAAUAAAUUAGCAUUUACAAUAUCUACAUCAAAAGCUUAGUAAAAAAAUCAUUUGGCACAUUAAAGCUUAAACUAAUAAUUGAAAAAUUCAGAUUGGAACAUUUUGUAUCUAUAACUAAUAAAAAAGAGUCAAAAACAAAAUUGGUAAGAAUUAAGCUCAAAUAAAAAUUUCAUUCUCAAGUCCUGGAUUACUAUUAAAUGAGGUAUUCCCAAAACAUAAUUAGUGAAUAUUAAGCAUGAAACAAAAUGUAUCUACAUAAGUUAGCCUGUUAUACACAGCUUAUGGUUUAAAUUUGAUCAGAGAUGUUUUGAUGCAUGUAAUAACAUUAACAUUUGUUCAUGGACUGGCCAUGAAUGUGAGUAAGAAUGAACGCACCAAUCUAGCAAGAGUAAGCUUCAUAAAAACAAUUUUAAGAUGACAUGAAUCAUACUUUCCAGGGAAAAAUAUGAAACCAAGUUUUAAUUUUUAUUUUAGCCAAGACUAUCAAUAUCAUCAGUUUUUUUUUUUAGAACAUAUUGGUCUAAAAAAAGGAUAGUAAAUUUUUCGUGAAGCUAGAACCUUGCAAAAGGAUCAAUGCUCAUUGUGUUAGUCCAAAAUGACCAGCAGAUUUUCAAGUCUUUUGUGGAGACUGAUUCUCUUGCCAGUUAUACCAUAUAUUUUUAGCUGUGCCUAAACCUGACUGUAUUCAAAAAUUUUAAAUCAAUAUCCAUAUCACAGCAAGCUUGGAAUGACAAUUUUAUCAGAGUCAUACCUGUCAACUGACCCGUAUCCUGUGGGUGACAUCGAGAAUUUCCCCCCUCACCCGGGAUUUUUUAAAUACCCGCCAGGUUGUUUAAUAACCUGGGAUUUCCAAAAAUGACCCAUUUUCAUCCAGAUUCUGGUGCCUUCAGACUGAUCUUAUAAGUAUUUAUUUUCAUUUUUAUAAGUUGACAGGUAUGCAGAGUUGUAUUUGGCCAUUGUGUUAUAGUAAAAGUCCAUUGGUAAAAUUAAUUAAGUAUAUCACUCCUAACAUUAACAAAAGUGAAUUUCAUGCAAAAAAAAAUUCAGUCUUGAAAUCAAUUCAAUUCUUGUUUUUACAUAUGAAAUAACUUAACUUAUUAAUGCAUUCACUUAAUAUAUUUUGCAUGUUACAUUGAAGAAUAUUUUGGUUUAUAAAUUGACAAAAUUAACAACAAUACGAGCUACGAUGUAUAUUUCAUAUAGACUACUCUAUUUCAAAGUGAAAUACAAGACUAAAGUUUACACAACAACAGUCGCUAUUUAAUUUCUAUAAUUUAUGGUUUUUUAUUACAAUGAAAAAAUACAAUGAAAAAUUAAACCAUGAUAUUGUCAUGUAUUACUAAAAGGUCAUGAUAUUCAAAAUCUCGCUUGAUUAAGAUUAAUACUUUUAGAAGCUAGUUUUGAAUUAUAAUGAUUUUAUACACUGCGUACCAGUGCUGAGUUGAUAAAAACAAAAGCAUGUAACCUGUAGGCUAAUAAAUAGCUUCAAAACAUGCAUUUAUAAAUUUAACAUGUUAUUUGGAAAAGACUUCAAUUUUUUUCAUAUCUUAUUCCUAUAUAUUCAAUAAACAUACUUUUUUAAAUAACAUUUUCUUGUUUCAACAAAAACUGUAAUUAAUUUAAC
rnacentral:lncRNA from 1 species